GACGUAGGGCGCGAGCGUUGUCCGGAUUAUUGGGCGUAAAGAGCUCGUAGGCGGCUUGUCGCGUCGACUGUGAAAUCCCGCGGCUCAACUGCGGGUCUGCAGUCGAUACGGGCAGGCUAGAGUGCGGUAGGGGAGAUUGGAAUCCUGGUGUAGCGGUGGAAUGCGCAGAUAUCAGGAGGAACACCGAUGGCGAAGGCAGAUCUCUGGGCCGUAACUGACGCUGAGGAGCGAAAGCAUGGGGAGCGAACAGG
rnacentral:rRNA from 1 species